rnacentral:rRNA from 1 species
AUGGUCUUAGCUUGCUAAGGCCGAUGGCGACCGGCGCACGGGUGAGUAACACGUAUCCCACCUGCCGUCUACUCUUGGACAGCCUUCUGAAAGGAAGAUUCAUACAAGAUGGCAUCAUGAGUUCACAUGUUCACAUGAUUAAAGGUAUUCCGGUAGACGAUGGGGAUGCGUUCCAUUAGAUAGUAGGCGGGGUAACGGCCCACCUAGUCUUCGAUGGAUAGGGGUUCUGAGAGGAAGGUCCCCCACAUUGGAACUGAGACACGGUCCAAACUCCUACGGGAGGCAGCAGUGAGGAAUAUUGGUCAAUGGGCGCAGGCCUGAACCAGCCAAGUAGCGUGAAGGAUGACUGCCCUAUGGGUUGUAAACUUCUUUUAUAAAGGAAUAAAGUCGGGUAUGUAUACCCGUUUGCAUGUACUUUAUGAAUAAGGAUCGGCUAACUCCGUGCCAGCAGCCGCGGUAAUACGGAGGAUUCGAGCGUUAUCCGGAUUUAUUGGGUUUAAAGGGAGCGUAGAUGGAUGUUUAAGUCAGUUGUGAAAGUUUGCGGCUCAACCGUAAAAUUGCAGUUGAUACUGGAUAUCUUGAGUGCAGUUGAGGCAGGCGGAAUUCGUGGUGUAGCGGUGAAAUGCUUAGAUAUCACGAAGAACUCCGAUUG